CAUCACCCCAAUUACAAAGCCAUAGGGCAGGACCUCCCUGAGGAUCUCUUGUCAAAGCGGGCAGCCCCAGCCACUCCAAAAGCCAGCCUUGGGGGGAAAAGCCUGUGACCAUGAGGACAGAGGUGCAGAGCUGCAGAACCUCUGAAGCGGAAAUUGCCCUGCUGAGUGUGCCUUGACCCGAGUCUGAGAAGUGGCACCACAGCACCAGCACAACUGGUUGGCUUUCCUUGAAAUCUUUCUGGAUUUCACUAAAGCUUUUGACACUGUCUCUCACAGCAUCCUUCUGGGUAAAAUGUCCAGCACACAGCUGGAUAAACACAACUUCCCGUGGGUGAGCAAUUCGCUCACAGAUCGAGCACAGAGGGACUGGAAGGGACACUAAGCAAGUUUGCAGAUGACACAAAAUUGGGAGGAGCCGGCCAAGGAUAUGUUCUAACAUCAUCAUCAAACAAGGUAAUGUAAAAUUAAUAAACAUGUAUGCACAUAUAUCACAAAA